CUAAAGCAAGCAUGUGUGAAGGCCUAGGGCUUUUUGUAUCAGUAUAAACAAAAUGCAGCAGGGCAUGUCCAUGAGUUUCUUUUUGCCAUACUGAUGAAAGACUAGAGAUGAAAAAGUUACACUGUUCUUUGUGGGGGGAGGAGUAAGCAUUAGGAUGAAAGUCACUUCCAGAAACCACUAGGUAGGCAUGAGGUUGUAAGGAAGGCUACGCUCCUGGCUUCCUUCCAUAUUCGUGGUUUUAUCCUACUGCCCCUGCCAGACCUCUUAUCAUAGCUAUAAACAUUUCUAUAGCUAUAAGCAUAUUUUCAUUUGCAUGACCUUCACUUAUUUCUGCAAAGUCCAUAGCUAAAAGUCUUGGACACAGCCGUCACGUGCUGCUCCAGCCAACUUCCCAUGAGGUCAGUCCUUAUGCAUCGCCAUCCUGACUGUUGGUGGCCGCAGCGCUCAUCCUCAGCCCCAGGUGUGCAACAAAAAAGGAGCUUCUCCCAACUCCUAAUUGCAUGGAAAGGCUGCAGGGAUACAGAGAUGAAUGGCAUGGCCAGGCACGUACAGUGCGAGGGGCUGCAGGCCUGCAUGUGGAAUGUCUCAUCACAGCCUCCAGUUGUCCCAGUAGCAUGCACAGAGGGCACGGGUGAGUCUGGAGGAGCCAUUGAAGACUUCUCUAGGGAGAGACGUUUGUGUGAGAUCACAGACGAUGUGUGGGCAUGUGCCAGGUGGCAAAGAAGAGAAGGCUUGUGAGGAAUGAAACUUGGCAUUCAUAAAACCAGUGUUUUUCUCAAAAGCCAGUGUCUUGCAUUUAAGUGGGAUUAGAAAUAAAUAUUCCCAACACAUGCAGGUGAGGAAGAUCUGUGGCCCAGGGCAGCCCAGGAGAGAGGACCUUUCUCUGCCAGGACAGAUCCCCUUCAGGAGGCCCCUGAUGGAAAGGCAGUGGUGGGCCUGGGGAUUCCAGGAUGUUGGACUCCUGCCCUGGAUGGAGAGGCUCAAUUUAGGUGAGAAAACCAGCGAUGGGCUUUGGGGCUUCCCUCACCUGUAGAUUUCAGAUACAGCAGGUAAGGGACAGAUCUGGAAAACUACAGAAGGAGUGGGGCCUGGGGUUCAAAUGAGGAAGACUCAUGGAAACAGUGGUGAUGAGAGGCCAGUAGACACCAAUGACCUCAGCCUCCAGAGAACCCUACAAACGCUGACCCAAGAUGCGGUCAGAUGCAGCCCUUCCUGGUUGAUUAAUUUUUGGGCUGCCCAAGUGUGGGGGUGCACACACCAGUGCAGCCCAGGAUUUUGUUUUCACAGUGACACCUCUCAUCUUCUCUAGGCUUCUCACCUCUUAGCCUGGGCUGUCAUCCAGGUCUUGGAGAAGUCAAGCAACUUGUCAUGGGCAGGAAAAGACAGCCCAGAACCCAGAACCUGGAAAUACUGAUAUUUGGGGGAGAGGGUCAUGUUUCCCCCAGACAUCUCUGCCCCAGCCCUCAGCUGUUGGGAUGAAGAGGUGCUACCCGAUUACUAAAUGGGAACAGUGUCAUGAAGGAGCUGGAGUGAGCAGGUCCCCAAGGGAGGCAGUAUGGAGUGGGACCUGAGCUAGAGGCUGGAACUGUGUCUGACUCCACCACGGACUGGCCAGUGUGGGUCCCUCUGGCUGUUCCUGUGCCUGCCUGUCCUCAGCCUCAGCAAAAUGAGCAGCGAGAGAAGGUGAUACCAAGAUCCGUUCCAGCUCCCGAGCCUCUGACUCCAGCUGCCUGGCUCUGAAAUCACCGGCUGCCCCCUGAAGUCCACCACUCUCCUGUUGGUGCCCGUGCUCCUUCCCCUGAAUCACAAGGGCACUGGCCGUGUCCCUAUUGUCCUGGCUGUGUACAACCUCUACCAAGGGGUUACCCCGUCUAGAUCAUCUCCUUGGUCCUUAUCAGCAAUUUGGGCUUCCCUUUCUUCCUGUGUCCUCUCUCUGUGAGAUGGUAAGUGUGGUAAAACAAACAAGCAAGCAAACAAAACCACCGUCCUGCUUGAAAAGCAAUUUAAAGGCAGAGGGAUUUUAGAAUAGCGCACCUUCCACCUAGUCAUCCCUGGAUCCCGUUUCCUUACAUCCUUUCAGAUCCCCUUCCACCUGGAAGUGUGCGCCUCCAAAAGCAGUGGCAGGUUCUGCUUCACACCCCAAGAAUGACGCCUGGCAUACACUGAUCCUGCUGCCUUAGGAGGAGAUACUCAAGCGCUGGAAGUCUGCCCUGCCUGCAGAAAAGGCUCCGUUCAGCAGCUGCAUACUGCAUUUUCCAUGUGUAUGUGACUUUAACACAGGGGAGAGAGAGGGCUACUGUCUUGCCACCCAGAUGUGUAUUAUAGAUGUACACGGGACUAGUAUCCAUGUGUACAGCAUCCUGUAUGGUGUGUAUGCAACAUGCAUACCAUAUAUAGGUAAUGUGUUGAGAUCUGGGCAGACUUCCGAUAGCGUUUGCAUGAGUAAGGAAACCUGCCUGUCUCUUGGUCCUUUUAAUGGUGACCUGACCUGAAUAGCUGUUUACAUUUUUUUAUUUAAAAAAAAAUCUCCAAAGCAAUGGUCUCCACGUGCCAGUCCCUGAACAAUGAAGUUUUCAACAGCUUCCAUAAAAACAAAUAAAGCAGGACAAUGUACAGUUAGCCCUCCAUAUCCAUGGGUUCUGCAUUCCUGGAUUCAACUAACUGCAGAGCAAAAAACAAAAAAAUUUUAAUGCAUCUGUACUGAACAAGUGCAGAGGUUUUUGGUUACUAUUCCCUAAACAAAACAGUAUGACAACUAUCAACAUUGCAUUUUCAUUGUAUUUGGUAUUGUAAGUAAUCUAGAAAUGGGAAGAUGUGUGAAGGUUAUCUGCAAAUACAACACCAUUUUAUAUCAGAGACUUUAGCAUCCAUGGAUUCUGGGAUCCAGGGGGGUUCCUGGAACUAGUCUCCCAUGGAUACCAAG
rnacentral:lncRNA from 10 species